rnacentral:rRNA from 1 species
AUGAACGCUGACAGAAUGCUUAACACCUGCCAGUCUUUGGCGAAGCUGUGCUUGCACAGCCUAGCCAAGGCGGACGGGUGAGUAACGCGUAAGGAACUUGCCCUGCAGUCAGGGAUAACAGACGGAAACGACUGAUAAGACCUGGUAAAGUCAGGCGGACUCAUGUCCAGCCUGAUGAAAAGAGAUGCUGCAGGAGAGCCUUGCGUCCUAUUAGCUUGUUGGUGGGGUAACGGCCCACCAAGGCGAUGAUAGGUAGCCGGCCUGAGAGGGUGGACGGCCACAAGGGGACUGAGAUACGGCCCUUACUCCUACGGGAGGCAGCAGUGGGGAAUAUUGGACAAUGGGGGCAACCCUGAUCCAGCAAUUCUGUGUGCACGAUGAAGGUUUUCGGAUUGUAAAGUGCUUUCAGCAGGGAAGAAAAAAAUGACGGUACCUGCAGAAGAAGCGACGGCUAAAUACGUG